rnacentral:rRNA from 1 species
GACAGAGGGUGCAAGCGUUGUUCGGAAUUACUGGGCGUAAAGGGCGCGUAGGCGGCCUUCUAAGUCAGACGUGAAAUCCCUCGGCUCAACCGGGGAACUGCGUCUGAUACUGAGUGGCUUGAGUGCAGGAGAGGAAUGCGGAAUUCCAGGUGUAGCGGUGAAAUGCGUAGAUAUCUGGAGGAACACCGGUGGCGAAGGCGGCAUUCUGGACUGUAACUGACACUGAGGAACGAAAGCCAGGGGAGCAAACGGG